rnacentral:rRNA from 1 species
CCUACGGGUGGCAGCAGUGAGGAAUAUUGGUCAAUGGGCGCGAGCCUGAACCAGCCAAGUCGCGUGAGGGAGGACGGCCCUACGGGUUGUAAACCUCUUUUGCCGGGGAGCAACGGGCGUCACGUGUGGCGCCACUGAGAGUACCCGGAGAAAAAGCAUCGGCUAACUCCGUGCCAGCAGCCGCGGUAAUACGGAGGAUGCGAGCGUUAUCCGGAUUUAUUGGGUUUAAAGGGUGCGUAGGCGGAUUUUUAAGUCAGCGGUAAAAUGUCCGGGCUCAACCCGGGCCGGCCGUUGAAACUGGGGAUCUUGAGUGGGCGAGAAGUAUGCGGAAUGCGUGGUGUAGCGGUGAAAUGCAUAGAUAUCACGCAGAACUCCGAUUGCGAAGGCAGCAUACCGGCGCCCGACUGACGCUGAGGCACGAAAGCGUGGGGAUCGAACAGGAUUAGAUACCCCUGUAGUC